GGUUCGCAACUAUGUUGCAUCGUCAAAGGAAGAGUGGGUAGAACAGUGCAAGCUAUGGCCCACCUCAUACCAUCCAGCAAACCUAAGCAGCAAUAUCACUGGCAUAACUGGGUUUAGUGAUGAAGACUCACAAUCAGUUGUAAGUUUUAUGAUGUAUGCUCCGGAAUUGGCGAAAUCUCAUGGUAAUAUGGUGGUCCAUGCUGCAGCAAUUGUAGAUCCUCUAUCUAAUCAAGUGAUUGCAAGGGCGUGUGAACAAGUCUGCUCUUGGCAAACUCCAAAAACAGAAGUUGGUGCUGAAUGUAGUAAUUCCACCAAAUCUUGUGCUGAAAUGACUGGAUGGAUAAAACAUGAAUCAUGUCUUAAACACUGUUCCUCAGGUG